UACAGAGGGUGCAAGCGUUGUUCGGAAUUACUGGGCGUAAAGCGCGUGUAGGCUGCUUGGCAAGUCGGAUGUGAAAGCCCUGGGCUUAACCCAGGAAGUGCACUCGAAACUGCCAAGCUCGAGUCCUGGAGAGGGUGGCGGAAUUCUCGGUGUAGAGGUGAAAUUCGUAGAUAUCGAGAGGAACACCGAUGGCGAAGGCAACCCCCUGGGCCGGCACUGACGCUCAUGCACGAAAGCGUGGGGAGCAAACAGG
rnacentral:rRNA from 1 species